rnacentral:rRNA from 2 species
GUUGGUGAUUUGUCGCAAGGGUCACACCUCUUCCCAUUCCGAACAGAGAAGUUAAGCCUUGUAGAACCGAUGGUACUGCUUACGCGGGAGAGUAGGUAGUCGCCAGCA